GGUUGAUCCUGCCGGACCCCACUGCUAUCGGGAUAGGACUAAGACAUGCUAGUCGAGCGCCUCCCAGCCACGACGGAGGCGCGGCGCACAGCUCAGUAACACGUGGCUAACCUGCCCUCGGGACGGGAAUACCCCCGGGAAACUGGGGCUAAUCCUCGAUAGGUGAAGAACUCUGGAAUGAGUCUCCGCCCAAAAGAGGCUUAAUUAUUGUUUUAGCCCCCCCCCCAAGGAUGGGGCCGCGACCGAUCAGGUAGUUGGUGAGGCAACGGCUCACCAAGCCUUUAACCGGUGCGGGCCGUGGGAGCGGGAGCCCGGAGAUGGGCACUGAGACAAGGGCCCAGGCCCUACGGGGCGCAGCAGUCGCGAAAACUUUGCAAUACACGAAAGUGUGACAGGGCUAUCCCGAGUGCCAUCCGCUGAGGAAGGCUUUUACCCAGUCUAGAAGCUUGAGAAUAAGGAGAGGGCAAGUCUGGUGUCAGCCGCCGCGGUAAUACUAGCUCUCUGAGUGGUGUGGAUGUUUAUUGGGCCUAAAGCAUCCGUAGCUGGCCAAGUUAGUCCCCUGUUAAAUCCACCGAAUUAAUCGUUGGUGUGCGGGGGAUACUGCUCGGCUAGGGGACGAGAGAGGCCGACGGUAUUUUCGGGGUAGGGGUGAAAUCCUAUAAUCCCGAGAGGACCACCAGUGGCGAAGGCUGUCUGCUAGAACGCGCCCGACGGUGAGGGAUGAAAGCCGGGGGGAGGGAACCGGAUUAGAUACCCGGGUAGUCCCAGCUGUAAACGAUGCAGGCUAGGUGUUUGGACGGCCACGUGCCGUUCUAGUGCCGCAGGGAAGCUGUUAAGCCUGCCGCCUGGGGAGUACGAUCGCAAGAUUGAAACUUAAAGGAAUUGGCGGGAAG
rnacentral:rRNA from 1 species